ACGAACGCUGGCGGCGUGCCUAAUACAUGCAAGUCGAGCGCGGGAAGCUCAUCAAUCAUCCUUCGGGUGACUGUUGAGUGGAACGAGCGGCGGAUGGGUGAGUAACACGUGGGCAACCUGCCUGUAAGCUUGGGAUAACUCGUGGAAACGCGAGCUAAUACCGAAUAAAAAGUUUGUUCGCAUGAACAGACGAUGAAAGACGGCUUUUGCUGUCACUUACAGAUGGGCCCGCGUCGCAUUAGCUAGUUGGUGGGGUAAAAGCUCACCAAAGCAACGAUGCGUAGCCGACCUGAGAGGGUGAUCGGCCACACUGGGACUGAGACACGGCCCAGACUCCUACGGGAGGCAGCAGUAGGGAAUCUUCCGCAAUGGACGAAAGUCUGACGGAGCGACGCCCGCGUGAGUGAUGAAGGUCUUCGGAUCGUAAAACUCUGUUGUCGGGGAAGAACAAGUAUCGGCCUAAUACGCCGGUACCUUGACGGUACCUGAUUAGAAAGCCCCGGCUAACUACGUGCCAGCCGCCGC
rnacentral:rRNA from 1 species